CUGACACCACACGACUGGCGCAGGUGGGGAACCACCAGGGAGUGAACCGUCGGAGCAUCGCCCGCCUGGGUGCUCCUG
rnacentral:ncRNA from 2 species